rnacentral:rRNA from 1 species
AGAAUCAACGCUGGCGGCGUGCCUAACGACAUGCAAGUCGCACGAGAAAGGGGAGCAAUCCCUGAGUAAAGUGGCGCACGGGUGAGUAACACGUGAAUAAUCUACCUCCGAGUGGGGAAUAACUGAGAGAAAUCUUAGCUAAUACCGCAUAACACUUACGAGUCAAAGCAGCAAUGCGCUUGGAGAGGAGUUCGCGGCCGAUUAGUUAGUUGGCGGGGUAAUGGCCCACCAAGACGAUGAUCGGUAUCCGGCCUGAGAGGGCGCACGGACACACUGGAACUGAAACACGGUCCAGACUCCUACGGGAGGCAGCAGUGGGGAAUUUUGCGCAAUGGGGGAAACCCUGACGCAGCAACGCCGCGUGGAGGAUGAAGCCCCUUGGGGUGUAAACUCCUUUCGAUCGGGAAGAUAAUGACGGUACCGAUAUAAGAAGCCCCGGCUAACUUCGUGCCAGCAGCCGC